UUUUCUAGUGUAUCAAACUCUUCAAUUGAAAUAGCUGGUGAAUAAAGUUAUUUAUUGGGUCUAUCCCAGUUUUUUGAGAUGGUAAAGAAAAGGAAAAAUAUGAAUGCAAUAACGGUUGAAUUUGUGAAGCAGACUGCCAUUCUGAUGGAAACACUAUCUGUUUAACUGGCAAGUCAUCUAGUUGAUCCACUGAGACAGAGACAGCCAGAAAGAUCAAAAAUAAGAAAGCCUUUUUUUGAUUUAAGAGAGACUGGUACAAAAGGUUUUGAAAUUUGGAUUUUUAAGGCACCGUAAGGCUUUGGAAUUAAGUGUUGCUAAGUGUAAAGUUAUGCACCUUGUUCAUGGAAAUAUAAAUCAUGAAUAUGUAAUGAAUGAUGGUAAUACAUCUCUUAUUAUAGCGGCAACGGAUAUUGAAAGAGACCUGUAUCUUUUAUCUAACAAUUUAUAAUGGAAUCAACACAUACAGGUUGCGACACGUAGAGCAAAUAUGAUACUUGGCCUACUAAAAAAAAACAUUUAGAUCAAGAUAUAUGAAACUUUGAGGUAAGCUAUAUACUACAUAUGUUACACCGCACCUGGAAUUCACUACUCCGGUAUGGUGUCCUUACUUAAAGGGGGACAUCAAAGAUAUUGAAAAAAAUCAGCACAAAGCAACAAAAGUUCCUCAUGAUAUCUAAAAGGUGUCGGCGUCUCAAUUUUAUCUCUUUGGAAACUCGCAGGCGACGUCGCGACUUGAUCUAACAGUCUACACUCGAAAACAUUUUUAAAUUAAUAAUUGGCAUAACCCACCACUUCGCAGAUCACCAUCCAACGCAUUAACGCGUAAUUUCACUCACAAUAAUGCUCGACAUAAUUUUUUUACAAAUGGUAUUGUGAAUGAUUGGAAUUAGUUACCGUGCAAAAAGGCUCCGUCAAUUAACGCAUUCAAAAGUAGAAUUGACAAGCAUUUUUUUCCAACAGCUGCAAACUAUGCAACUUUUAUUAAAGAUGUGCUGCACGUUUAAUUUAAUUACUUCAUCCUUUAGCAGCUACAAAUAUUGACAUUUUAGAUACAUUUAUCUUAAAAAUAAACUGCAAUUAAAUAAAAAAAAAUUUAAAAAGUGA